GCAGAGGUAGCUCAGUUGGUAGAGUGGUCGCCUGAAGAGCCUCGCGUCCCAGGUUCAAUUCCUGGUCUCUGCGCCA
rnacentral:tRNA from 1 species